UACGUAGGGUGCGAGCGCUAAUCGGAAUUACUGGGCGUAAAGUGUGCGCAGGCGGCCGAGCAAGUCGAGUGUGAAAGCCCCGGGCUUAACUUGGGAAUUGCGCUCGAAACUACUUGGCUGGAGUGUGGCAGAGGAAGGUGGAAUUCCAGGUGUAGCGGUGAAAUGCGUAGAGAUCUGGAGGAACACCGAUGGCGAAGGCAGCCUUCUGGGCCAACACUGACGCUCAUGCACGAAAGCGUGGGGAGCAAACAGG
rnacentral:rRNA from 1 species